rnacentral:lncRNA from 1 species
UAUAACCACAAUCUUCAUAUAAAAUAGAAUAACAAAAUGUCCUGGAAAAAUACUAGCCAAAGCUGGAUCUGGGCUGUUUUAUAUUAUGACAGCAAUAUAAAGUACUGUAAUAUGUUGCUGUAAGUACUGGUCUGAAUGGUGACAUUUCUUGUGACAAACCUCAGUAUGGAUGAAAAAGAAAAUGCUUGGAAAACAAAAUAUCUUGCUAGAAUGAUCAUUUUUUGACACAAAUAUAAUGGGUAUGUUUCCAUACCAAGAACAUAUAAUCACAUCAGAAAAGUUAAUGCUUUUCCCUGAAAUGCAAAAGAUGAAAGUACAAAUCCCUGAACUGAAUCACCACAGAGACAAGUCUGAAUCUGUUCAUCCAUAACUGAAUUCUCAAAUGAUCAAACUAGCAAGUACCCUCAGCUGAUCUUCUCUAAUGUGUUUGGGUUUUCAGAGGUAAUUGUGAAGCAUCUUCAUUUCAUUCUGCAAGGAAAGAACUGCCCCAAACCCCUUAUUGUUUCUAAAGAACUGGAAAUGUUGUCUAACAGCCAGUUUCCUUUUUCUCAAAUAAAUAUUGGUGAAACCUUGCUUUAAAGAGAGCUCUGCAGGAUCAAGGAUUCAACUGGAGAACUUUAAGAGAAAUAUCAUCGGUAGUGCGGAACUUUUUUUAUGCUGUCGUAAAGCCAGGAGAAGUCAAUUAGGUCUAGUACUUCAUUAAUGAUGUUCACAAAUCACAUUUAUGGCAAGUUUCAUAUCUAGUGCUCUGUUAGAAUAUGCCAUUUGGAAAGCCUACAUUUGACACCCUUAUAUGAUGGCACUGCAGCUACUACUGGGGACAGGAGAGAACUGCAAGGCGACAGUGGGAACACGGGACGAUGCAGAGCUGCUCAGUGUCAGAUGCUGAGGAUGUAGCAAGAGUGUCUUACCAGGGUGAAAAGGUCUGGGUUAGCACACAGAAAAUACCAUCCCAACAAGGAUUAAUCCUAGAGGUAAUGAGAGGACCUGAAGCAGCAUUUAGGUUUCUUCCUCUUACCUGCCAGUCACUCAGACACAUCCUCAGACUCCGUGCUGGUACAGAACCACAUCAUGCAGCAACACAACCAGAGAGGAAAGGUUUUAGUAUGGGCCCCAUCCUGAAAGCCCUCAGCACACUCGGGUGUGAAGAUGCAUCGUCAAGUCUCAGUGCCUUCUGUGCAAAGAUUAAAGACAUGCAAUAGAAUAAUAAACAAAAAUCAGACGGUUGUUUAUUAUUUACU